rnacentral:rRNA from 1 species
AGGAUUAGAUACCCUGGUAGUCCACGCCGUAAACGAUGUCGACUAGCCGUUGGGACCUUUAAGGACUUAGUGGCGCAGUUAACGCGAUAAGUCGACCGCCUGGGGAGUACGGCCGCAAGGUUAAAACUCAAAUGAAUUGACGGGGGCCCGCACAAGCGGUGGAGCAUGUGGUUUAAUUCGAUGCAACGCGAAGAACCUUACCUACCCUUGACAUCCAGAGAACUUGGCAGAGAUGCCUUGGUGCCUUCGGGAACUCUGAGACAGGUGCUGCAUGGCUGUCGUCAGCUCGUGUUGUGAAAUGUUGGGUUAAGUCCCGUAACGAGCGCAACCCUUGUCCUUAUUUGCCAGCACGUAAUGGUGGGAACUCUAAGGAGACUGCCGGUGACAAACCGGAGGAAGGUGGGGACGACGUCAAGUCAUCAUGGCCCUUACGGGUAGGGCUACACACGUGCUACAAUGGCCGGUACAAAGGGUUGCGAGACCGCGAGGUGGAGCGAAUCCCAGAAAGCCGGCCUCAGUCCGGAUCGGAGUCUGCAACUCGACUCCGUGAAGUCGGAAUCGCUAGUAAUCGUGAAUCAGAAUGUCACGGUGAAUACGUUCCCGGGCCUUGUACACACCGCCCGUCACACCAUGGGAGUGGACUGCACCAGAAGUGGUUAGCUUAACC